rnacentral:rRNA from 1 species
GACGAACGCUGGCGGCGUGCCUAAUACAUGCAAGUUGAGCGCUGAAGGUUGGUACUUGUACCAACUGGAUGAGCAGCGAACGGGUGAGUAACGCGUGGGGAAUCUGCCUUUGAGCGGGGGACAACAUUUGGAAACGAAUGCUAAUACCGAAUAAAAACUUUAAACACAAGUUUUAAGUUUGAAAGAUGCAAUUGCAUCACUCAAAGAUGAUCCCGCGUUGUAUUAGCUAGUUGGUGAGGUAAAGGCUCACCAAGGCGAUGAUACAUAGCCGACCUGAGAGGGUGAUCGGCCACAUUGGGACGGAGACACGGCCCAAACUCCUACGGGAGGCAGCAGUAGGGAAUCUUCGGCAAUGGACGAAAGUCUGACCGAGCAACGCCGCGUGAGUGAAGAAGGUUUUCGGAUCGUAAAACUCUGUUGGUAGAGAAGAACGUUGGUGAGAGUGGAAAGCUCAUCAAGUGACGGUAACUACCCAGAAAGGGACGGCUAACUACGUG